rnacentral:rRNA from 1 species
AGAGAUGUGUGAUGACGCAUAUCAAUAAGCGGAGGAAAAGAAACUAACAAGGAUUCCCUUAGUAACGGCGAGUGAAGCGGGAAGAGCUCAAAUUUGAAAUCUUCAAGGUUCUACCUUGACGAAUUGUAGUUUAAAGAAGUGUUUUCUGUUAGUAGAGUGGCAAAAGUUCUUUGGAAUAGGACAUCAUAGAGGGUGAGAAUCCCGUAUUUGGUCAUUCUUUCUAGCUUUGUGAUACACUUUCAACGAGUCGGAUUGUUUGGGAAUGCAGUCCAAAAUGGGUGGUAAAUUUCAUCUAAAGCUAAAUAUUGGCGAGAGACCGAUAGCGAACAAGUACCGUGAGGGAAAGAUGAAAAGAACUUUGAAAAGAGAGUUAAACAGUACGUGAAAUUGUCAAAAGGGAAGCGUUUGACACCAGUGUUGUUUUUCCGAAAAUCAAUUACGAAUGUUUUAUUUUUGAGAAGUUAUGACUUCAUCGGCUUGCUUCUCUCUUUACGAAACUUUCUUAAUGCACUUUUCGGUUAACAAGUCAACAUCAAUUUCUUUUGUUGUAAAAGGGUAUGAGGAAGGUGGCUUUCUUUUCGGAGAAAGUGUUUAUAGCCUUGUACCUCUGCAAUCGGAGAGAUUGAGGUCUGCAGCGUAGAUCCUUCGGGGUUAGAUACAUUUGUGCUAAGUUAUAGCUUUUCAUAGACAACUUGUUGACUAUGUUAAGUCUUGUAGCUUACUCGCUUAUGCUAUUUUACCUACGCUUAGGAUGUUGAUAGUCACAGCUGUAC